UCUGCGACAGAGCGAGACCGUGUCAAAAAAAAAAAAAAAAAAAAAGGCUGACUAGAAACAGCUAGUGUGCGCCACUCUCACAAACAGAAGAAAGUGAUCAUCCAGGUGGACACUCUGGGAUUCAGCGAGGAAACAACACAACCCACGGAGAACAAAGACGAGUAAGACAGGAGAGCCUCCCACCAGGAGUGGUACGGAGCCAGGAGAGGCCCCCAACAUGGGGAAAUGGAUCUUUAUUGUCCUUGUGUGCCUUCACUCCAACUCUGAUUAAAAAGGACUCUCUACAGAAGACGUACUACUGGUCACUUACAUUGCUUUAUGAUUGCUGAAGGGAAGUCGAUGGAAACUAUUUACUCAAGAACAUAGAAAACUGGAAAUACUGC